rfam:Pseudomonas alkylphenolica strain KL28 chromosome, complete genome.
GUCACAGGUGGCGCGGCACUCGUAAAGAGGCAGCGCCGAAGCGCAGUACCUAACGAAGACGGUAAAAAG